rnacentral:rRNA from 1 species
AGGAUGAACGCUGGCGGUCUGCUUAACACAUGCAAGUCGAACGGAGUACCUCGGUACUUAGUGGCGGACGGGUGAGUAACGCGUGAGAAUCUGCCCUUAGGUCGGGGACAACCAUUGGAAACGAUGGCUAAAUACCGGAUAAGCCGAGAGGUAAAAGAUUAAUUGCCUAGGGAAGAGCUCGCGUCUGAUUAGCUAGUUGGUGAGGUAAAGGCUCACCAAGGCAUCGAUCAGUAGCUGGUCUGAGAGGAUGAUCAGCCACACUGGGACUGAGACACGGCCCAGACUCCUACGGGAGGCAGCAGUGGGGAAUUUUCCGCAAUGGGCGAAAGCCUGACGGAGCAAGACCGCGUGAGGGAGGAAGGCUCGUUGGGUUGUAAACCCUCUUUUCUUGGGGAAGAACAAAAUGACGGUACCCAAGGAAUCAGCAUCGGCUAACUCCGUGCCAGCAGCCGC